rnacentral:rRNA from 1 species
CCUACGGGAGGCAGCAGUGAGGAAUAUUGGUCAAUGGGCGAGAGCCUGAACCAGCCAAGUCGCGUGAAGGAUGACGGCCCUACGGGUUGUAAACUUCUUUUGUCAGGGAGCAAUUGGGUCCACGCGUGGGCUUAGCGAGAGUACCUGAAGAAAAAGCAUCGGCUAACUCCGUGCCAGCAGCCGCGGUAAUACGGAGGAUGCGAGCGUUCUCCGGAUUUAUUGGGUUUAAAGGGUGCGUAGGCGGAAUAUCAAGUCAGCGGUAAAAAUUCGGGGCUCAACCCCGUCGUGCCGUUGAAACUGAUGGUCUUGAGUGGGCGAGAAGUAGGCGGAAUGCGUGGUGUAGCGGUGAAAUGCAUAGAUAUCACGCAGAACUCCGAUUGCGAAGGCAGCAUACCGGCGCCCAACUGACGCUGAAGCACGAAAGCGUGGGUAUCGAACAGGAUUAGAUACCCUUGUAGUC